UGAGUCUUGUUUCAAAUAGAUGUAUUUUUUUGGCUAGAGUACGUAAGGAAAAGGAAAGGUUAACCGCUGUCAAA
rnacentral:rRNA from 1 species